AUGGCUGAUAGUAAGAGAGUGAGAUCAGGCAGCUCGUCGGAUGAGUCUGAUGGAAAUUUUUCAGUUAAUCCAUUGAAACAGGCAGCCACGCCUACACAAGGGCCGGGACGACCUCGGAAAACCUGGGAGGCUCUAUCUUAUAGAUCUAAAUGCAGGCGUAAGAAGGAAUGUGAGGAGUGGCUUCUUGAGUCUGACAGAACUGCACUGUUUUCAGGGCAGUCUGAUAAUGUAGAUUUUCUGAAAAGUUUGUCGAAGGAUCAGAAUCUUGGCGAGCUGUUUGGUGAAUGUAGUGAUACGAGAGUUGAUGGGUUGUUGCAAGUUGACUGUCAAAGCACCAGUCCAUUGCCGGAUGAGAAGGGUGAUGUGAUCAGUGAGGAAUUUGAUGAUGUAAUAAAUGUAGACCAUCAAGGUACUCUGACAAGUUUCGCGGAUAAUUUUGAUUUUCGGUGGGAAGAAGAUGUUAAUUUUAGUGUUUGUGAAUUCUUAGAAGGAAUAGGUGAUGAAGCAACACCAUUCCUGAAUUUAAAUUACGAAGAACUCAUGAAUUUAGAAGAACCCUUGUCAGAGGAAGAGGAUGAGGGUUUAUUAUUUGACUAUUCAGCCGCACUAGGGAGCAACCAAAGUUCUGGGAAUAUUCUAGAGGGUAAGCUGGCAGUGUGGAGAUCGAAGCACAAUAUAUCAAGGACAGCCAUGACUGAUCUUCUACACAUCCUUGUUAAGCACAGGCCUGUUGAGGAUUUCAGCGAGCUUCCUCUAGACAGCAGAACUGUAACUCGGCACACCAGCGUAAUAAAUGUUGAGGGUUUCCAAACCGUCAGUAACUGUGCUGGUGGCACUUACAUUCACUUAAGUCUGGAGGACCAGACAAAUCAGAUUUUAAGUGAAGUUGAUGAUGAUGUUCUUGAUUCUGUUGAAAAGAUUGUUUAUGAUAUUUCUACAGAUGGUUUUAAUUUGUGGAAUAGUUCUAGUAGUCAUAUAUGGCCUUGGAUGGGCAGAAUUGUUUCUAUCCCUGCAGUAAAAGAUAUUGUCUUUCUAAUUGGUGCCUGGUUUGGUGAUAGGUCAAAGCCAACUUGUGGGAAUAUUUUCAGUGCUAAACUGGUAGAGGAGCUCUCAUUAAUGCUCCAAAAUGGUAUAAUUUUAAAGGGUAAGCAUAGAACAGUAGCUAUGAGGUGUAUCAUUGCUGACGCGCCUGCCAAGAGUCUAAUUUUAGAAAUAGUAUAUUUCAACGGGUACAGUUCUUGUACUAAGUGUACUGUGUUUGGCAGUUGGGAUGGUCGGACAUUAUUCCCUUUGUGGCAAUGUGAGACAGCGGUGAAAAGAACUCACGAUGGCUAUCAAACAGCUAUCGAUUCGAAGCACCAUCUAGACGUAACUGUGUUGGCAACUCUGCCAGGAUUCGAUGUGCCUAAAAUGGUACCUCUUGAUCCGAUGCACCUGCUGUAUAGAGGGAUACAGAAGUGUUUGCUAGGUCUUUGGACAUCCGGAGAGAGGCCGUAUAGAUUAUCGGUAAAACUGUGUAACAGUAUUUCAUCCAAUCUUGUAAAGUGCCGCAACUAUGUGCCUUCUGAUUUCCAACGGAAGCCAAGGUCACUGACUGACCUCCCCUUUUUCAAAGCCACAGAAUACCGUUUAUUUGCUUUGUACAUUGGUCCAGCUUGUGUGAAGAAGGAACUUGACACCCCACGUUAUGUAAGUUUUCUAUGUUUCCAUGUUGCUAUAAGAAUUUUAGCGGAUCCUAAGCUUUGUGUUCAAGAAAAGUUCUUAUUGUAUGCUGAAAAGUUGUUGUUAAAGUUUCUGCAGCAAUUCUGCCAGUUAUACGAUGAAAAGUUUCUCACGCACAAUUUCCAUGGUGUGUAUCCUGGGCACCUGGUAGACGAUGUCCGAAGACUAGGGCCGCUAGAGAGUUUUAGCAGUUUUUCCUAUGAUAAUUUCCUGCGCCAUCUCAGAGAGAAAAUUAGGAAAGGUGAUCAUGUAUUGCAGCAACUUGUCAAUCGGUACAUCGAAGACGCUGUCCUAGCAAUCAAGCAAACAUCAUCGGUUUUGUCCUCGCCUCAAUUUGAAGGGUCGCAUGAAAUGGGGCCUCUUUUAUCUAUUUGCUCAGGCCCGCAGUAUAGAAGUGUUCAUUUUAAAAAUUUCAAAAUCAGUGUUACUGCGGAGGCAGAAUCUUUUUGUUUCACCAAGCACAAUGAAAUUGUUUCAGUGGAAACAUCUGUUGGUGUAAAAAGUUGA
rnacentral:lncRNA from 1 species